rnacentral:rRNA from 1 species
UUGGAGGGCAAGUCUGGUGCCAGCAGCCGCGGUAAUUCCAGCUCCAAUAGCGUAUAUUAAAGUUGUUGCAGUUAAAAAGCUCGUAGUUGAAUUUCGGGAUCAAUAUAUCGGUCGUGCCUUGGUACGUACUGGUAUCAUUGGUUUCUCCUUUCUGACGAACCAUGAUGUCAUUAAUUUGGUGUUAUGGGAAGUUAGGACUGUUACUUUGAAAAAAUUAGAGUGUUUAAAGCAGGCUUUAGCUUGAAUACAUUAGCAUGGAAUAAUGAAAUAGGACGUUCGAACCUAUUUUGUUGGUUUCUAGGACCAACGUAAUGAUUAAUAGGGAUAGUAGGGGGCAUUAGUAUUCAAUUGUCAGAGGUGAAAUUCUUGGAUUUAUUGAAGACUAACUACUGCGAAAGCAUUUGCCAAGGAUGUUUUCAUUAAUCAAGAACGAAAGUUAGGGGAUCGAAGACGAUCAGAUACCGUCGUAGUCUUAACCAUAAACUAUGCCGACUAGGGAACGGAUGAUGUUAAUUUUUUAAUGACUCAUUCGGCGCCUUACGGGAAAC